CGUACCUAGGCCCGCCCCCUUACUUCCCUAUAUAAACCUCUAGCCGUCCAAACAAUGUCAGACAUUGCUGGACGGCAGAGGUACUAGUGACAUGUCUGGUGGCCACACUGAGCGCUUGUCUCUUAUUGGAGCUCUGCUAGCUCUCUACUGACACCUCUGGCCAAAUUUAAUAUGACACAUUUCUGCUAACCUCAGGUUUUUACAUUAUCAUAUGUUACUUUGUGACUAUAUGGGCCUGAGGUCUUGCUAUAUGUGAUUCUGCACCGCCGGCUUCCUUCCUCUUAAUUUCAUCCAGAGGAGUCUUUCUGCGUCCUGAUAGUGGUGUCCUUUCUCUGGGGUGUGCAGGGUUGAUUAAACGCUGUGAUUGAAAAGUGGUUCUUAUACUCGUU